ACUUCCGUACUUCCGCUUUCCGGCCCAGCCAGCGCCCGCGAUGACUGCCACUCUCCGCCCCUACCUGAGUGCCGUGCGGGCCACAUUGCAGGCUGCCCUCUGCCUGGAGAACUUCUCCUCCCAGGUUGUGGAACGACACAACAAGCCGGAAGUGGAAGUCAGGUAGGGAAGGACAAGUCAAGGUGGGGAUGAGGGGUGCAGCACACAGAGAUGGCUGCUGUCUAGAAGGUGCCAUGAACUUAUGUCCUGCAGUAGUCAGGAAAGCUGCAGUUGACAUUUUGUCUUGCUGCCAGCUGAAUGGUGAUUCCCAAUUUGGAGUUAAGAAAAUAGGGUCAGUGGGUUGGCAGGACAGAACCCAGGGGAAAAGACAAGAUUGGUUAACACAAGGUAUGACUUCUCAGAGCAGGGCUGUUGAUGAAGUCUCUCCUGUGGCAUUGUUGAAAACACUGGUAGUUUAAGGAAUGGUCAGAUAAUUGUUAUCUGAGAUUCCAUCUCCAUACUUUUCU
rnacentral:lncRNA from 10 species